rnacentral:rRNA from 1 species
GAUUAACGCUAGCGGCAGGCCUAAUACAUGCAAGUCGAACGGGAUUCAAAGUAGCAAUAUUUUGAUGAGAGUGGCGCACGGGUGAGUAACACGUAUGCAAUUUACCUUUAACUGGGGGAUAGCCCUCCGAAAGGAGGAUUAAUACCGCAUAAUAUAUUGAAAUGGCAUCAUUUUAAUAUUAAACCUACGGGGUUAAAGAUGAGCAUGCAUCCGAUUAGCUAGUUGGUGUGGUAACGGCUCACCAAGGCAACGAUCGGUAGGGGUCUGAGAGGAUGAUCCCCCACACUGGUACUGAGACACGGACCAGACUCCUACGGGAGGCAGCAGUAAGGAAUAUUGGACAAUGGAGGCAACUCUGAUCCAGCCAUGCCGCGUGAAGGAUUAAAGGCCCCUUAAUGGGUUGUAAACUUCUUUAGUACGGGACAAAACCCCUUUACGUGUAAAGGUUGAUGUACUGUCAG